rnacentral:rRNA from 1 species
UACAGAGGUGGCGAGCGUUGUCCGGAUUUAUUGGGCGUAAAGAGCUCGUAGGCGGCUUGUCGCGUCGGCUGUGAAAACCCGCGGCUCAACUGUGGGCGGGCAGCUGAUACGGGCAGGCUGGAGUUCGGUAGGGGAGACUGGAAUUCCUGGUGUAGCGGUGAAAUGCGCAGAUAUCAGGAGGAACACCGGUGGCGAAGGCGGGUCUCUGGGCCGAUACUGACGCUGAGGAGCGAAAGCGUGGGGAGCGAACAGG